UGCUAUGUAAGAAUGUCCCAUGGAUCAAAAUGCAUCACUGAUACAAAGCAAUUUUUUGAUCUUUGGGAUAACUGCUGAUCUACAUGAAAAUGAGCUCUUUAUUGCAGAUGGGCAACACAUUUGGACUGUUUCUCCAGCCAAUCUCACAAAUCCAAGACUUCUCUACAAGAGUAAUGUUACUGUGAGGGAUAUUUCUGUGGACUGGUUGUUUAAAAAGCUGUACUUUGUUGUCAACCUUAAGAUUCUAUGGUGUAACUCCACUAAAUGCCUUGAUGAGGUGGUAGUUACUUUAGAAUUUCAAGCAUAUGAGAUUUUUGUAGCUC
rnacentral:lncRNA from 1 species